rnacentral:rRNA from 1 species
AUUGAACGCUGGCGGCAGGCCUAACACAUGCAAGUCAAACGGUAACAGGAAGCAGCUUGCUGCUUUGCUGACGAGUGGCGGACGGGUGAGUAAUGUCUGGGAAACUGCCCGAUGGAGGGGGAUAACUACUGGAAACGGUAGCUAAUACCGCAUAACGUCGCAAGACCAAAGAGGGGGACCUUAGGGCCUCUUGCCAUCGGAUGUGCCCAGAUGGGAUUAGCUAGUAGGUGGGGUAACGGCUCACCUAGGCGACGAUCCCUAGCUGGUCUGAGAGGAUGACCAGCCACACUGGAACUGAGACACGGUCCAGACUCCUACGGGAGGCAGCAGUGGGGAAUAUUGCACAAUGGGCGCAAGCCUGAUGCAGCCAUGCCGCGUGUAUGAAGAAGGCCUUCGGGUUGUAAAGUACUUUCAGCGGGGAGGAAGGGAGUAAAGUUAAUACCUUUGCUCAUUGACGUUACCCGCAGAAGAAGCACCGGCUAACUCCGUG